GUGGUCAGCCUGGGACGGAGGGGUGGGCAUUUCGUAGGAGCGCUUGGCUGCAGUCCCGGCCGCCGGGAUGGCGGCGCCGCACCUUUGCGCGGAUGGCUCCUGCUGCUCUCACCCUAGUGCGGUGCCCGGGGUACAGCAGACGCUGGAGGAGAUGGACUUCGACAGGGGUGAGAGGGGUGAGGCGGCCGCGUUGCCGGCGGCGGGCAAUCUCCAGCCCCAUCUCCGGGAACGUGGACUGAAGGAGGCCUCGAACCGUGUUUGGAGCUUCCGGGCCUGGUGCAGGAAGGCUGGCUUCAAAGCGUGGCAGGAAGCCCCUCGACUACUCCGUCUCGAGUGCGGACGGGAAUCUGGUCGGCUGCCCUGAAUGGAGACCUGGGCCGUGUGAAGUAUUUCAUCCAGAAGGCUACAGACCCUAGCCAGCCAGAUUCUGCCGGCUACACCGCACUGCACUAUGCCAGCCGCAAUGGGCACUAUGCUGUUUGCCAGUUUCUGCUGGAAAGUGGAGCGAAGUGUGACGCCCAGACCCACGGGGGCGCCACGGCUUUGCACCGGGCCAGCUACUGCGGGCACACGGAAAUCGCACGGCUGCUGCUAUCCCAUGGGUCCAACCCCUGGCUGGUCGACAAUGAUGGCAUGACCAGUCUGCAUAAGGCUGCAGAGAAUGGUCAUAAGGACAUUUGCUCCCUCCUGUUACAACACAGCCCAGCCCUGAAGGCCGUCCAGGAUCGCAAAGCACGCCUAGCAUGUGACCUGCUGCCCUGCAACAGCAGCCUGUGGGACCUGCUGGCCAGCUGAGGCUCCACCUCCUGUCUCUGGCUGCCCUUGAAGGGUACACAGACUAGCUCUCCACACCCCUGCCUUGCUCAGAGUCACGCUGCCGGGACCAGGGCCAGAUUGCCCAGAAGAGCCCCUCCCGGCCAGUGUGACAGCCGUAGGGAGGCUAGGGAGGGCUGAAGGCUUUUGAGUCUGGACAGGUGAUCAUAUAAGUUAGUCCAUGUACAGACACAUAGCCAUUUGGAAGAAAAUAAAGCUUAUAUCUUGAUGUUAUCACAUGGACAAAAGUAAAUUUCAAAAUACAGUCUCCAAAAGGUAAAAACAAAACACUUUGAAGUAUCAGAAGAAAACCUGGAGUAUGUAAUAAAAGCUGUUGGCUGGCUGAAUGAGCUGGGGGCAGGUUUCUUUUAGAACAGCACCCAUGUCUUCAAGAUGAAAAGGGUUGCCUCACGGUUGCUCUGGGGACCCAGGAAGUCUGUGGACGGAUGCCCUAAGUGAGCACACUCACUACAUUGCAAACAGCAGAGGAGAAUACCCACUGCUCAGUCUGGCCUGGUAAUGCAGGCCUCACAUACCAGCUGGUCAUGAGGCUGCAGAGGAGUUCAAGGCCAGCCUGGGCAACAGGUAAAAGGGAUAUAGGUUAUCGGUAGAAUGCUUACCUGACAUGCAAAAGCCCUGUUUUCAAUCCCUAAUAUCGUGGGAAAACAGUGCCCAGUCCCCAAAGUCUAACCAACACGGGCCUUUAUCCCCAGUGUUCAGUUCUAGUCCGACCUGUAUGAAGUGUGACUGCCAGGUAUGGCUGCCCACCCCUUUAAUACCAGUGUCUGUGGUAGGAAGAUCUCUCUUCGAGCUCCAGGCCAGCCAGAGCUACCGAGACCCUGUCUCCAUAACGCCAUGUAAUAAUAACUGCUUUCCUGUUUGUCUAGCAUUGAUUGCUAGUCGGGCUGCACACCUGUCUUUGACUUUCCUAUCUAUGCCCAUUCGAAAUGUUUUUGUUCUUGAUAUGUAGCCAAGGCUAGCCUCCAACUUUGGAGCCCUCGUCAGGCCUCAGCUUCCUGAGUGUUGGGAUUGUAGGUAUGUGUCACCACAUCUGACUUGCUAUGUUUUUAUCACUUCACAGGAACUUUAUAUUAAUGGAUAUUGAGCCUUUGCUCUGGGUGUGUUUGUAUAUAUAGAGAAACAUAUAUAGUGUACAUAUUAUCUAAUGUAUAUUAAAAUGUUCUUUCAUGC